CUAACGAGUCAUGUGACAGAGUGUUGUUGGUUUGUUGGGCUUCCUGGUUUCCGUGAUCAUGUGAAUACUACAGCUAGCCGUCCCGGUCAUACACACUACCCCAGUUUGGGCACUCGACACCCCGCUACAGCCUGCGCUGGUUCCCACUAGCUACUCUAUGGCGGAUGGAGAGCGUAGCCCGUUGCUUUCGGACCAGCACGACGGGACGAAUGGUGCCUCGUAUGGCUUUCCCCCGAGGCCACAGAGUUUCCCUCCAUUCCUCAGGCCCAGUGCCCCCCCUCCAGUCCUGUUCGGUGAAGCCCCGCCUCCCUACUCUCCCCUGGGCAGCCCAGACAUUGGCAGCUCCCCCAUUAUCAGUUGCAGGGUGUGUCAGAGUGCCAUCAACGUGGAGGGAAAGACACACCAACACGUAGUCAAGUGUGUCAUCUGCAAUGAGGCUACGCCUAUAAAGAAUGCUCCAGCAGGGAAGAAGUAUGUCCGCUGCCCCUGUAACUGUCUCCUCAUCUGUAAAGUCACCUCCCAGAGGAUCGCCUGUCCCCGACUUUACUGUAAGCGUGUCAUGAACUUGGGUCUGGUGCCUGCUGCAGGGUCCGGUUCAGGCAGUCCAGGACCUCAACAACUCGCUGGGGUCAGAGUGGUCUGUGGACACUGCAGAAACACAUUCCUGUGGACUGAUUUCUCAGACCGAACGUUAGCCAGAUGCCCCCACUGCAGAAAAGUCUCUUCUGUUGGUCGGCGGUACCCCAGGAGGCGGGGCUUGUGGUGUUUCCUGUUGUUCUUGGUUUUCUCUGGCGGCACGGCAGGACUAGUGGUGGGAACGUGUAAAUCAGCCUUGCUCAACAGAGGGAUCUAUGCCUCCUGGGUCUUCCUGAUUCUCCUGGCUGUACUGAGCAUGUGCAGAAUGAUCUACUGGGGCUGUCUGAAGAUCAGCGAACCCAUACAGAACAUCACAUAGAGGAGAGAGGAGCCCAUACAGAACAUCACAUAGAGGAGCCCAUACAGAACAUCACAUAGAGGAGAGAGGAGCCCAUACAGAACAUCACAUAGAGGAGAGAGGAGCCCAUACAGAACAUCACAUAGAGGAGCCCAUACAGAACAUCACAUAGAGGAGCGAGGAGCCCAUACAGAACAUCACAUAGAGGAGCCCAUACAGAACAUCACAUAGAGGAGAGAGGAGCCCAUACAGAACAUCACAUAGAGGAGAGAGGAGCCCAUACAGAACAUCACAUAGAGGAGCCCAUACAGAACAUCACAUAGAGG